GACAGAGGAGCCAAGCGUUGUUCGGAAUUACUGGGCGUAAAGGGCGCGUAGGCGGUGUGUCAAGUCAGGCGUGAAAGCCCCGGGCUCAACCUGGGAACCGCGCUUGAGACUGGCACGCUCGAGUUCGGGAGAGGAUGGUGGAAUUCCCCAGUGUAGAGGUGAAAUGCGCAGAUAUCAGGAAGAACACCCGUGGCGAAGGCGGUUCUCUGGGACGGUACUGACGCUGAGACGCGAAAGCGUGGGGAGCGAACAGG
rnacentral:rRNA from 1 species